CCCUAGCCCUGAUGGAAGUGAAAAUCCUCCCAUUUUUUAGGGAGAUUGCAACGGACAGCAGGAAACAGC
rnacentral:sRNA from 1 species